UCUUUAAUUUGCUUCCCUCUAUUCACAAUUCUCACGUAAAGUACCAUUUUCCCCUUUUUCUCAAUUUUCCCCAUUCUCACCUUAGUUGAUUAUAGAGUACCAUUUUCCCCAUUUUCUCCAUUUUCCUCAUCUUCUCAGAUUGUCAAAUUUUCACAGUAGAUGAGAAGGAGUACGUUUUUGUCGUAAUUGUUGCAUCCGCUUUAAAACCCAGACCUCAAAACCACCAACAAUGGCGUCGGCUAAUCCAGCAAUGGCGCAACCACCGCCUGCACCACCACCGCGCUCAUACACCGACCUCGACUGCGACCCAAUAUAAUCUACGAGUUAACCCCCUUAUGGUUCAAAAACGACCUCUUUCUCCCUCCUUUCGACUUCGAACCCUACAUCUCUAACCUCCAAACCCAGUCCUCUCUCGCUGCACUCAAUUAAUCUCAAGUUACUGAAAGAAAUACGAGGUAUCAAACUUCAGCUGUUUGAUGUAAUGGUGGCUGCUCUGUUUUUGGGAAGAAGAUGAAGGACGAAGAAGAAGCAGCUGCCUUUGAAGGGUUUAGGGUCUUAGUUGGGCAUUUUUUAAUUUCAGAUUAGGAAAUUUUUUUGGUAUAUAUUGGGCUAACACUUUGUAAUUAAUAUGGUGGACUAACUUUUGAAGGAAGAAGGUUUAAGUUUUUGUGAACAUGAAAACAACAUUGAAUGCUUCUAAUGGAGGCUGUAUUUAAAUGCCUCAUAAAUAUGUAUUGCAAUGACUAUUUAAAUGCUUCAAUGUUUGAAUGUUUGAUGUUUUGUUUUUAAAAUUUUGGAGGGAAUUGAAAAUUCCCAAAAUUUCAGCCAAAAGAAAAUUUUAGGAAAAAUUUGGGGGGAAAAUUCAGCCAACAUUCCCACUACUUUCCCAAGUGGUGGGCCAAACUUUCUCUCUCCACACACUUUAAUCAUCUUUAAUUAACCCCACUACUACAUGCCCCUUAACU